rnacentral:rRNA from 1 species
GACGAACGCUGGCGGCGUGCCUAAUACAUGCAAGUCGAACGCAGUGGGGACGGGUGAGUAAAACGUGGGUAACCUCCCAUCAGAGGGGAUAACACUUGGAAACAGGUGCUAAACCGAUACUGAUGGAUGAACCCGCGGUGCAUUAGCUAGUCGGGGGGGUAACGGCUCACCAAGGCCACGAUGCAUAGCCGAGCUGGGAGGGUGAUCGGCCACACUGGGACUGAGACACGGCCCAGACUCCUACGGGAGGCAGCAGGAGGGAAUCUUCGGCAAUGGACGAAAGUCUGACCAAGCAACGCCGCGUGAGUGAAGAAGGUUUUCGGAUCGUAAAACUCUGUUGUUAGAGAAGCGGUAUCUAACCAGAAAGCCACGGCUAACUACGUGCCAGCAGCCGCGGUAAUAC